rnacentral:rRNA from 1 species
GAUGAACGCUGGCGGCGUGCUUAACACAUGCAAGUCGAGCGGACAGGCCCUGAUCUUGUGGGGCGCUCGAGAGGCGAACGGGUGAGUAAAACGCGAGUAACAUGUCCUUGUCUUUGGGAUAACUUCAGGAAAAUGGGGCUAAUACCGGAGAGGAGCUCCUGCUGCGCGGUGGGGGAUGGAAAGAGUCGGCGGUUGUGGAUGGACUCGCGGCUUAUCAGCUUGUUGGGGGGGUAGUGGCGUACCAAGGCUUUGACGGAUAGCCGGCCUUAGAGGGCGGCCGGCCACCUUGGGCCUGCGAUACGCCCCAGUCUCCUACGUUACGCAGCAGUGGGGAACCUUGCGCAAUGGGCGGAAGCCUGUUGCGGCAACGCCGCGUGCGUGAUGACCUCUUUCGAGUUGUAAACCGCUUCCUCCUGUGACGUGGCGUUAGUGACGGUAAUUGGUAAGAAAGCACCGGCUAACUACGUG